AUUGAACGCUGGCGGCAUGCCUUACACGUGCAAGUCGAACGGUAACGGGCCUUCGGGUGCCGACGAGUGGCGAACGGGUGAGUAAUACAUCGGAACGUGCCCGAUCGUGGGGGAUAACGAGGCGAAAGCUUUGCUAAUACCGCAUACGAUCUACGGAUGAAAGCAGGGGACCGCAAGGCCUUGCGCGGACGGAGCGGCCGAUGGCAGAUUAGGUAGUUGGUGGGAUAAAAGCUUACCAAGCCGACGAUCUGUAGCUGGUCUGAGAGGAUGAUCAGCCACACUGGGACUGAGACACGGCCCAGACUCCUACGGGAGGCAGCAGUGGGGAAUUUUGGACAAUGGGCGCAAGCCUGAUCCAGCCAUGCCGCGUGCAGGAUGAAGGCCUUCGGGUUGUAAACUGCUUUUGUACGGAACGAAAAGCCUUCUUUUAAUACAGGAGGGUCAUGACGGUACCGUAAGAAUAAGCACCGGCUAACUACGUG
rnacentral:rRNA from 1 species